AAGAUAAAGUCAUAUAAAGAAUGUAUUUUAAAAGCUCAGAUCAUGCCUGUUCAGUGCAUAAUGGUAUCACCUCUUAGAGCUAACUUCUGUGCAAACCAUCACUUUUCUCAAUGACAUAUUAAAAUACCUUCUUCUCUUAAGAGUAACUUUUUUCAUGGAUUUCUAAGUCCUCUUAUAAGCUACUUUAGUAAUGCCCACCCCUACCAAAUGAAAAUUACUACCAAUAAAUUGAGUUAUAGUUAUUAAGGAAAUGUCCUAUUUUACAGAUACACUGGAAAGGAAAAAUAGGUUGAAUCCACCAAUUCAGACACCACUUUCCCUCCAAAAUAUUAAAAAUCACAAAAAUAUUUUAGGUAACUCUCACUAUUCCAUCCAAUCUUCACCUUUUCCCUGUUCCUGUAUUUCACCUUUCCAGGUAUACAUUGUCAUAAAGGUAUAUUACUUCAACUAUGACAAAAACCCACAACAGGAAACAAUUAUAUUAACAUUUUGGUGUAAAUUUUUAUUCUCAAUUAAAAGAUUAAUCUCAUGGCCUUCUGAUCCUUGACCAAAAGAAGACAUAACAAUAUUUGAUAAACCUGGUUUAUUUCCAAGCUAGCUAUAAAGAUGUGAUGAAAUACAAACUUACUAAGGACCUAAAAAUGAGGCAAAACUCUUGGCAAUGGGAGCAGUUUAUAUUCCCACUGUGGGCCUAUCAUACCCUGCUCAUCCAUCAACUCUGCUUAAACAUCACUUCCUCAUAGAAGCUUUCCUUGACCCAGCAGACUAAAUUAAGAGUCCCUUUACAGGUUUCUACAGCACUUGACAUUUCAAAACACUCACCUCAUUUCUAAUUACAAAUUCACUGUAAAUCUCUGAUGACAAGCAUAGAUCACAAACCCCAGGGGAACAAGAACUACCUGCACUUUGUUAAACAAUGGAUCCCCAAAGCCUAAACAAUGGAUCCUCAAAGACAAGCAGAGUAACUAGUACUUAGCAGGACCUCUACAAAUGUUUGUUGAAUUAAUGAAUGAAUGAAUGAAUAAAUGAAUAUCAUCACCAAGCAUUUGUUCUUCAGCCCUGAUAAAUCUAGUAUGUGCCUAAAAUAUAGAAAUUAUGAUGAAUUUUGCAGUUGUCUCCACUAUUACAACUAUUCUCCUAUCUUCAACCAAAAAUCUACACAGUAAUUGUUUCAAUUAGGUACUGAUGCAAUACUGAUCAAAGUGAGAGCUCUGGAAAAAUAACUCAUGUUUGUUCAAAAAUCAGGGACAGCCUAGAGAACAAUAACAAUUUAUUCUUUCUACUCCUCUUUUAGCUAUCAGAUAUAUUUUAGAAACACUAGCCAUUUUCUUAAUUUACCAACUCUGCCCAGAAUGUCAGGGUAUUCUGAUGAUCGUUUUGGUGACAGAACCACCUGACUCCAAAAAUCAAAUGAACAAGAGUGAAAAAUGCACUACACUUAUGCUGGAGUUUUUUGUGUUACAGAAAUAAAGACUCCACUUUUAUUGUACACCUUAAACUUAAACAAUGUUACGUGUCGAUUACACCUCAAUAAAGCUAGGGGAAAAAAUGAUGAGUAAGUUCUGAAUUAACAAUACAAUAUUGUACACUUGAAAUCUGCUCGAGUAGAUCUUAAGUGUUCUCACUACAAAAAAAAGGAAAUAUGUGAGGUGAUGGAUGUGUUAACUAAUCUUAACAUGGUAAUCAUUUCACAAUAUAUUCAUAUAUCAAGUCAUUAUGUCAUACACCAUAAAUUUACACAAUGUUAUUUGUCAAUUUUAUCUCAGUAAAGCCGGGAGAAGAAAAAGAAACCAACUUUUUAUGUCAUUUUUCCUCUAAAAGGUACAAUAUACCUAUUCCAUUCUUGCAUUGUCUUUCAGAUUUCUAUGCUGUUGUCAUACAAGUUAAAUGUGGCUAUCUGAAUAAUAAUGUUCAUAGCAUUUAUCAGUUUAUAUUGAAAUGUUAGCCUCAGAGGAAUUCAAAUAAAAGAUGAAUCCUUUCCUUUUUAUUUAAUAGGUAAAUUAAUUCUGAAAGAAGUCAAAGGAAGGAAUUAUGCUUCCUUCAAAAUCCUGACUGGAUCCAUCCUGAUAAAACAUAAAUAACAUAAUUCCAGUGCAGCACAGAAAAAAUUAAAAGAGCUAAAUUACAGUUACAAAUUUGUACUACUCUUGGAGCCAUCCCAAAGGAAAAGGAUUAAGAAUACAGCCAUAGGCACACCUGUGAAUGUAUGCCAAAAAUAAACUACAGAAAUAUAAUAAAAACUGACUUCCUUGGGCCUAAGGGUUUAUCUCUUUCCCUGAAAUGUAGAAAAAUGAAUUUAACAAUUUAGCCCCUAUGGCCUUGAAGAGGAUUUUGUAUCUUCUGUACUUGAACACUGUGCUCAACAUAACUUGCUCUUCUAUUUGUGUAGUUUAUGGAUGCCAGGGUUAAGGUUUGCCUGAGGCUGUUUUGGUUUACGUUUAUGUUACUACUUUAAUUACAGUCAAAUGCAUUUAAUUUACUUUUCUUUUAAAAAGUGUUUACUCAAAAAGGACCAAUAUGAAAUAUAUUUUUUUUUCUUGAUUCAGAAGGCUUUCUUAGCUUUUUGGUCAUUGCACACGAUUCUCAAGCAUACUUAACCAAAAAUAUAAGGUCCCUAUGAGAAUCACAAAAUUUUAAAUCUGGUCUUUUAGAUUAUCUCAACACCAAGUUUCUCAAUUUACAUAUAAGGAAACUGAGGUCCAAACAGAUAAGGGAGCCUAUCCAAUAUGUAGCUGGUAAAGAACAUAGCUAGGACUGAUUUCCCUCUCAGCCAAGUGUUGAGAAAAUCACUAAGAUUUUUUCUUAAUUUUUACUUUUAAAUAAAUAUUAAAAAAUAAGAGCUUCUUCAAAGCUGUAUUUGCACUGGUUCUAACACCUAAGUAACAACUAAAUUACCUCACAAAUACUUCAAGUUCCAAUAGAGUUUAAAAACUAUGAAAGGCAUUUUAAUUGGAAGGAAAAGCAUACAUUUGGAAUUUGUCACUUUAUCAUCAAAGAGCCUCCCAAAUUGGUACUCAAAGAUUAUAGCAAUCCCCUGACCAAAAAAAGAUGGUUCUUAGAACCUAAAAUAGCAGUUUGGGAAUAAAACUAAAGAACAUAAAUGGCUUAACAAAUACAAGACAGCUAUAGAAAAUAACUGCAAAGGCAGGUUCUCACCAUUCAAAAGUGGGAGUAUUCACUCACUGAAUUUUUUUUAAACUAGACAACUUACGGCUUAUUUAAGCUUUCACGUUUUACUAUGUAUAUUUUUUAAGGUCAAUACGUCUGCUCUGACUCUACUAACUGGUAACUUUGAGCCUUUUGCUCUUAUUUCCUCUCAAAAAACUUUUAGCCUGUGUUUCUUCGUGAUGACCUAAGUACCCAUCUCAAAGGGAUUUAAAUCAAAUUUACAGCUUUAUUUUAAACCCAGUUUUCAUUAGAAAAUGAGUAACAAACACAGUUUAUUUUCAACUUAAAAUUUCUGAUUCUUAGUGAGCUAUGCUGAGAAACAUAUUGGAAACACUACUGUUCCAGUGUUAAAGUAUCUUCAAAUGUGACUUUCACUUUUAAGCAAAUCUGACUAGGGUUAAGAAUCCAAAUGUGUAAAAAACAAUGGUCACAUAAAAAGAAGACAGAAUACAAGAUGUUGAUGGGAGAGAAUUAUGCUAAAUUUAUUCAGACAAGUCCAGCAAUUCUUGGCAUACCUAAAGUUUUAUGAUAACUAAUCCAUCUCAAACACUUCAUUCACUUUUCCUUCAGCCCUUUUUCUUUUUGCUACUUGGUAUCUUACCCUUUUAGUUAUAAUCCUCACUUCCACUUAUUCCUCAAUUCAUCCCAAACCCAACAGGUUCUCUUGAAAACAGCAAUACGGAACUGUCCGCAAAGCAUAAUGCUGUCUGAAAUAUAUACACAGCCUACUUAAAAGUCUUUCGAUGUGAUACCCUAAGUAUUCAAAAUACAAAAUCAAGAGCUUUGGAAGGGGCCUGGGUCAUUGAAUUGAACGCUUUCAUUUUAUUCAUACAGAAAUGGGCUCUGAGAAGCUCACUUACUGAGCUCAAAAGGUCUCCUAAUUCAACCCUGUAAUCUGAAGAAAUUAUAAACUCAGACUAAAAAUAAUAUUUUCUGGAAUCAACAACAAAGUCAGUGGUGACGCCAUGGCUAUGGCUCAGGCCUGAGGACUCCCAGCCAGUUUUCCCACUACACCCUGCACCGGUAACUCUUCCCUUAAAGUUUAAGUUCACUAUUCUCUCAUAGGAUGUCGGGGAUAAAGCGAACACAGACCAAGUCUCCCUGUUUCACAUGGGGGAAAGAGCCCGUCUCCAGAUUUUUUUCUAGCCCCACAACUGCAGCUGCUGCUUCUGACAGCAGAGGCUGGAGCUGGCCCAGGGCUGUUCGGUCUUCACAGGCCGGGCUCCCUGUCGGUGCGGGGGUACCUCCGCGUUUACUGGCUUACUUCCUUUAAAGACUAGAGUAUCUUGAGGCGUAGGUGAAGAUAAAAAACGCCGAAACGCCACCCCCACAAAGGCCAUGGGCGUCCAGCCCUUUCCAAACCACGACCUCAGGCCUUGGCCAGGCAGGGAGAAGUGAACACCCCAGCCAGUCAGCAGAGCCGCGUGGGGUAGAGCGUGACUAAGGGGCCACAAGCCGCACCCCGCCACAAGUGGGGCACAGACGAGGGACACGGAGGCCGGCGAGGGGACAUGCACUAGUUCCACAGCCCGGUGACCGAGAUGGAGGACAGAGAAGGGACCCCAGCCGCGGGCAGCUGGGAAUCCGUCACACAUACUCACUGCCGCGGCUGUGACCAGGAAGCACCAACCAGGAACCAAAACGCGUAAAGGGACGGGGAGGGGCGAGGACAAAUGAGAGAUACCUAGGCUGCAUCUAUAAUCGGGGACACUUUCUUUGAACGACUUACACGCAAGAGAUGCAUUUAUCCGGCAAAACCUGAGGGGAGCGCCCACCCUUCUGUGCCCGAGGGAAAACUAUACCUCCCAUGAUGCCUCUGGGCAGGUUUCAGGACGGGCUCCGCCUCCUCCGUUGAUCUCGGGAACGUCCUCCCUGUGCCACGUGGCUCGGUACCCUAACAGUGCGUGGGGAACUAGGGCUGUCGCGGUAGGUAUCUUGACUGCCUGACCCCAAGCGGAGACCCGUUACAAGGAAUAAGCGUCUUCGGGAGCAACUGGUUUCUAGCUUCCCCAGUGCGUUAGGUGACCUUAGGCAGGUCCCUUCCACCUCUAGUUUGAAGUUGAACGUAGUUCACACUGUGUGCUUCUGCCUCUUUAUGGAAUACAAGGCAACAUAUUUAACUCUUUGUGAGCCUUGAAGAGCUGUACCCUUAAUAAAGAUUGAAAUAAA